ACCCCAGGAUUGGACAAAGUCCUGAAUUUGAUUAAUGCAAAAUACAAAAUCAAUCACACCAAUGUCGAAUGUGAAAAGCGUUUCAUAAUUAAACUACUAAUUAAAAAAGGUAAAACCCAGAAAGCGGCUUUAACAUUAGAAUCAGGAAACACUUACAAAUAAAGCAAUGAACAGAAUUUCAGGCUUACAAAUGAAACACCGAGAAAUAAAUCCACAAAAUGUAGAUUGUAGCCAAUCAAAAUCAUGAAGGAAGGCAUCACAAACAACGCAUUACAGAUUACGAAUAAAAAACAAAACUUGAAGGCACCCAAAAGAGAAAAAGAACACAUAUACAUUAAAAAGUGGAAAAAUACCUUGAUGGGAAAGCAAGGAAAUCCCAGAUCCUAUGUGGUCAAGAGCAGAGAUGAAGGCUACCAAAGAAAAAUGAUAGCCUGAAAAAGAAAUACGCAGUAUUGGAAUAUGAUGUAUAAAUAGAAAUAAGAAACAGUUUUGGAGAGAGAAAGAGAAGAUAAUGGGGAAGAAGCGAGAGAUAAGGAAUGGACACGAGGAACAUGGGUUCAGGUAGAGGAAGGAGGACAACCGGGAAAGUCUAGACUUUGACGCUUUAGAAUAUGAAAAAAAUUAUUUAUAUAUAGAAAACAACUAAUUAAAAGAAAAAAAAAUUAUUUAUUUGGAUAAGAAAAGAGAGCAAAAGUCUCUCUCUGUCUCUGUAAUUUCUCUACGCGUGUCAUAUAAAUACAGCCUAACAGCGGAGAUGAAGCUCUCCUCCUCCAUGGAAG
rnacentral:misc_RNA from 1 species